GACGAACGCUGGCGGCGUGCUUAACACAUGCAAGUCGAACGGUAAGGCCCUUUCGGGGGUACACGAGUGGCGAACGGGUGAGUAACACGUGGGUGAUCUGCCCUGCACUUUGGGAUAAGCCUGGGAAACUGGGUCUAAUACCGGAUAGGACUACGCGAUGCAUGUCGUGUGGUGGAAAGCUUUUGCGGUGUGGGAUGGGCCCGCGGCCUAUCAGCUUGUUGGUGGGGUGAUGGCCUACCAAGGCGACGACGGGUAGCCGGCCUGAGAGGGUGUCCGGCCAACAUGGGACUGAGAUACCGCCCCGACUCCUACGGGAGGCAGCCGGGGGGAAUAUUGCACAAUGGGCGCAAGGCUGAUGCAGCGACGGCGCGUGGGGGAUGACGGCCUUCGGGUUGUAAACCCCUUUCAGCACAGACGAAGCGUAAGUGACGGUAUGUGCAGAAGAAGCACCGGCCAACUACGUG
rnacentral:rRNA from 1 species